rnacentral:rRNA from 1 species
GACGAACGCUGGCGGCGUGCCUAAUACAUGCAAGUAGAACGCUGAAGGAAGGAGCUUGCUCUUUCUGGAUGAGUUGCGAACGGGUGAGUAACGCGUAGGUAACCUGCCUGGUAGCGGGGGAUAACUAUUGGAAACGAUAGCUAAUACCGCAUAAAAUUGAUUAUUGCAUGAUAGUCAAUUAAAAGGUGCAACUGCACCACUACCAGAUGGACCUGGGUUGUAUUAGCUAGUUGGUGGGGUAACGGCUCACCAAGGCGACGAUACAUAGCCGACCUGAGAGGGUGAUCGGCCACACUGGGACUGAGACACGGCCCAGACUCCUACGGGAGGCAGCAGUAGGGAAUCUUCGGCAAUGGACGGAAGUCUGACCGAGCAACGCCGCGUGAGUGAAGAAGGUUUUCGGAUCGUAAAGCUCUGUUGUAAGAGAAGAACGAGUGUGAGAGUGGAAAGUUCACACUGUGACGGUAUCUUACCAGAAAGGGACGGCUAACUACGUG